rnacentral:rRNA from 1 species
GUUGGCUUAGAAGCAGCCACCCUUUAAAGAAAGCGUAAUAGCUCACUAGUCGAGUCGGCCUGCGCGGAAGAUGUAACGGGGCUAAAACUAUAUGCCGAAGCUGCGGAUUUGCAAUUUAUUGCAAGUGGUAGGGGAGCGUUCUGUAAGCCGAUGAAGGUGUAUUGAGAAGUAUGCUGGAGGUAUCAGAAGUGCGAAUGCUGACGUGAGUAACGACAAUGCGAGUGAAAAGCUCGCACGCCGGAAGACCAAGGGUUCCAGUCCAACGUUAAUCGGGGCUGGGUGAGUCGACCCCUAAGGCGAGGCCGAAAGGCGUAGUCGAUGGGAAAUCGGUUAAUAUUCCGAUACUUGUUUAUGAUGCGAUGGAGGGACGGAGAAGGUUAUGCCAGCUUGGCGAUGGUUGUCCAAGUGGAAGGAUGUAGUUAGGUUUAGUAGGCAAAUCCGCUAG